GUGAGUCAUCGAAUCUUUGAACGCAUAUUGCACCCUCUGGUAUUCCGGGGGGUACACCUGUUCGAGCGCCAUUUUAAACCCUCAAGCAUAGCUUGGUGUUGGGCAGGGUCCCGGGGGACCCGCCCGUAACUUGUAGGCGGUUACCGCCCGCGCCCUUAGCGUAGCAAGCUCACGCAUUCGCUCGGGGACGGCGUGUGACCAUGCCAAACCAACUCCUUCAAAGGUUUGGCCUCGGAUCAGGUGGGGAUACCCGCUGAACUUAAGCAUAUCAAUAAGCGGAGGA
rnacentral:misc_RNA from 1 species